rnacentral:rRNA from 1 species
AACGAACGCUGGCGGCGUGUUUAAGACAUGCAAGUCGCACGGGAUAAGACAUGUAGUAAUACUUGUUUUAUUUAGUGGCGCACGGGUGAGUAACACGUGAAUUACAUGCCCUAUAGUGGGGAAUAGCCCAGGGAAACUUGGCUUAAUACCCCAUUGUAUCGAAAGAUUAAAGAUGGCCGCAAGGCUGUCGGUAUAGGAUUGGUUCGCGCCCUAUCAGCUUGUGGGUGAGGUAACGGCUCACCAAGGAAAUGACGGGUACCUGGGAUGAGAGGGAGAUCAGGCACACGGGAACUGAGAAACGGUACAGACACCUACGGGUGGCAGCAGUCGAGAAUAUUUCACAAUGGGGGCCACCCUGAUGGUGCAACGCCGCGUGGAGGAUGACGGUCUUCGGAUUGUAAACUCCUGUCAUCUGGGAGAAAGACCUGACGGUAAAUAGCCGGCAGGGUUGAUAGUACCAGAAGAGGAAGGGACGGCUAACUUCGUGCCAGCAGCCGCAGUAA